rnacentral:rRNA from 1 species
ACAAUAGCAGAGAGGAUACACCUGUUCCCAUUCCGAACACAGAAGUUAAGCUCUCUAGCGCUGAUGGUACUUGGUGGGAAACUGCCUGGGAGAGUAGGACGU